rnacentral:rRNA from 1 species
GACGAACGCUGGCGGCGUGCUUAACACAUGCAAGUCGAACGGAAAGGCCCUGCUUUUGUGGGGUGCUCGAGUGGCGAACGGGUGAGUAACACGUGAGUAACCUGCCCUUGACUUUGGGAUAACUUCAGGAGACUGGGGCUAAUACCGGAUAGGAGCUCCUGCUGCAUGGUGGGGGUUGGAAAGUUUCGGCGGUUGGGGAUGGACUCGCGGCUUAUCAGCUUGUUGGUGGGGUAGUGGCUUACCAAGUCUUUGACGGGUAGCCGGCCUGAGAGGGUGACCGGCCACAUUGGGACUGAGAUACGGCCCAGACUCCUACGGUAGGCAGCAGUGGGGAAUAUUGCACAAUGGGCGGAAGCCUGAUGCAGCAACGCCGCGUGCGGGAUGACGGCCUUCUGGUUGUAAACCGCUUUCGCCUGUGACGAAGCGUGAGUGACGGUAAUGGGUAAAGAAGCACCGGCUAACUACGUG